UACAGAGGUGGCAAGCGUUGUUCGGAAUUACUGGGCGUAAAGGGCGCGUAGGCGGUCCUGUAAGUCCUGUGUGAAAUCCCUCGGCUCAACUGAGGAACUGCACGGGAUACUGCGAGACUUGAGUUCGGGAGAGGGAAGCGGAAUUCCGGGUGUAGCGGUGAAAUGCGUAGAUAUCCGGAGGAACACCGGUGGCGAAGGCGGCUUCCUGGACCGACACUGACGCUGAGGCGCGAAAGCUAGGGGAGCAACGGG
rnacentral:rRNA from 1 species